rnacentral:rRNA from 1 species
AUUGAACGCUGGCGGCAGGCCUAACACAUGCAAGUCGAACGACUGGCGGACGGGUGAGUAAUGUCUGGGAAACUGCCCGAUGGAGUGGGAUAACUACUGGAAACGCUAGCUAAUCCCGCAUACCAUCGGAUGUGCCCCGUUGGGAUUAGCUUGUAGGUGAGGUAACGGCUCACCUAGGCGACGAUCCCUAGCUGGUCUGGAAGGUUGACCAGCCACACUGGAACUGAGACACGGACCAGACUCCUACGGGAGGCAGCAGUGGGGAAUAUUGCACAAUGGGCGCAAGCCUGAUGCAGCCAUGCCGCGUGUAUGAAGAAGGCCUUCGGGUUGUAAAGUACUUUCAGCUGGGAGGCGUUACACGCAGAAGAAGCACCGGCUAACUCCGUGCCAGCAGCCGCGGUAAUAG